rnacentral:rRNA from 1 species
UACGUAGGGGGCAAGCGUUGUCCGGAUUUAUUGGGCGUAAAGAGCGUGUAGGCGGCCAGGUAGGUCAGCUGUGAAAACUCGAGGCUCAACCUCGAGACGCCGGUUGAAACCAUCUGGCUAGAGUCCGAAAGAGGAGAGUGGAAUUCCUGGUGUAGCGGUGAAAUGCGCAGAUAUCAGGAAGAACACCCGUGGCUAAGGCGGCUCUCUAGUACGGUACUGACGCUGAGACGCGAAAGCGUGGGGAGCAAACAGG